rnacentral:rRNA from 1 species
UACAGAGGGUGCAAGCGUUGUUCGGAAUUACUGGGCGUAAAGCGCGUGUAGGCUGCGGAGUAAGUCGGAUGUGAAAUCCCUUGGCUUAACCAAGGAAGUGCAUCCGAUACUGUUUCGCUUGAGUGUCGGAGGGGAUGGCGGAAUUCCCGGCGUAGAGGUGAAAUUCGUAGAUAUCGGGAGGAACACCUGUGGCGAAAGCGGCGCACUGGACCACUUCUGACGCUGAGGCGCGAAAGCUAGGGGAGCAAACAGG